AUUGAACGCUGGCGGCAGGCCUAACACAUGCAAGUCGAACGGUAACAGGAAGAAGCUUGCUUCUUUGCUGACGAGUGGCGGACGGGUGAGUAAUGUCUGGGAAACUGCCUGAUGGAGGGGGAUAACUACUGGAAACGGUAGCUAAUACCGCAUAACGUCGCAAGACCAAAGAGGGGGACCUUCGGGCCUCUUGCCAUCGGAUGUGCCCAGAUGGGAUUAGCUAGUAGGUGGGGUAACGGCUCACCUAGGCGACGAUCCCUAGCUGGUCUGAGAGGAUGACCAGCCACACUGGAACUGAGACACGGUCCAGACUCCUACGGGAGGCAGCAGUGGGGAAUAUUGCACAAUGGGCGCAAGCCUGAUGCAGCCAUGCCGCGUGUAUGAAGAAGGCCUUCGGGUUGUAAAGUUCUUUCAGCGGGGAGGAAGGGAGUAAAGUUAAUACCUUUACUCAUUGACGUUACCCGCAGAAGAAGCACCGGCUAACUCCGUG
rnacentral:rRNA from 1 species